CCUACGGGGGGCUGCAGUGGGGAAUAUUGGACAAUGGGCGAAAGCCUGAUCCAGCCAUGCCGCGUGUGUGAAGAAGGCCUUCGGGUUGUAAAGCACUUUCAGUGGGGAAGAAAGCCUUGGGGCUAAUACCCUCGAGGAAGGACAUCACCCACAGAAGAAGCACCGGCUAACUCCGUGCCAGCAGCCGCGGUAAUACGGAGGGUGCGAGCGUUAAUCGGAAUUACUGGGCGUAAAGCGCGCGUAGGCGGUCUGAUAAGCCGGCUGUGAAAGCCCCGGGCUCAACCUGGGAACGGCAUCCGGAACUGUCAGGCUAGAGUGCAGGAGAGGAAGGUAGAAUUCCCGGUGUAGCGGUGAAAUGCGUAGAGAUCGGGAGGAAUACCAGUGGCGAAGGCGGCCUUCUGGACUGACACUGACGCUGAGGUGCGAAAGCGUGGGUAGCAAACAGGAUUAGAUACCCCAGUAGUC
rnacentral:rRNA from 1 species